rnacentral:tRNA from 1 species
GAGUAGGUGUGCCGAGAGGCGAAGGCGGCGGACUGUAAAUCCGCUACGUAAGAUACACCGGGGGUUCGACUCCCUCUCUACUCACCA